ACUCCUACGGGAGGCAGCAGUGGGGAAUAUUGCACAAUGGGCGCAAGCCUGAUGCAGCCAUGCCGCGUGUGUGAAGAAGGCCUUCGGGUUGUAAAGCACUUUCAGUCGUGAGGAAGGUAGUGUAGUUAAUAGCGCAUUUAUUGAUCGUUAGCGACAGAAGAAGCACCGGCUAACUCCGUGCCAGCAGCCGCGGUAAUACGGAGGGUGCGAGCGUUAAUCGGAAUUACUGGGCGUAAAGCGCAUGCAGGUGGUUUGUUAAGUCAGAUGUGAAAGCCCGGGCUCAAGCCUCGGAAUUGCAUUU
rnacentral:rRNA from 1 species